GGUUAAGUGACUAAGCGUACACGGUGGAUGCCCUGGCAGUCAGAGGCGAUGAAGGACGUGCUAAUCUGCGAUAAGCGUCGGUAAGGUGAUAUGAACCGUUAUAACCGGCGAUUUCCGAAUGGGGAAACCCAGUGU
rnacentral:rRNA from 1 species